rnacentral:rRNA from 1 species
GAACUGAAGAGUUUGAUCCUGGCUCAGAUUGAACGCUGGCGGCAUGCUUUACACAUGCAAGUCGAACGGCAGCACGGGCUUCGGCCUGGUGGCGAGUGGCGAACGGGUGAGUAAUACAUCGGAACGUACCCAGAAGUGGGGGAUAACGCAGCGAAAGUUGCGCUAAUACCGCAUACGUUCUACGGAAGAAAGUGGGGGACCUUCGGGCCUCAUGCUUUUGGAGCGGCCGAUGUCUGAUUAGCUAGUUGGUAGGGUAAAGGCCUACCAAGGCGACGAUCAGUAGCUGGUCUGAGAGGACGACCAGCCACACUGGAACUGAGACACGGUCCAGAC